rnacentral:rRNA from 1 species
CCUACGGGAGGCAGCAGUCGAGAAUCAUUCACAAUGGGGGAAACCCUGAUGGUGCGACGCCGCGUGGGGGAAUGAAGGUCUUCGGAUUGUAAACCCCUGUCAUGUGGGAGCAAAUUAAAAAGAUAGAACAACAAUAUGAAGAGACGGCUAACUCGGUGCGAGCCGCCGCGGUAAUACAGAGGUCUCAAGCGUUGUUCGGAAUCACUGGGCGUAAAGCGUGCGUAGGCUGUUUCGUAAGUCGUGUGUGAAAGUCGCGGGCUGAACGCGCGGACGGCACAUGAUACUGCAAGACUAGAGUAAUGGAGGGGGAAGCGGAAUUCUCGGUGUAGGAGUGAAAUGCGUAGAUAUCGAGAGGAACACUCGGGGCGAAGGCGGGUACCUGGACAUUAACUGACGCUGAGGCGCGAAGGCCAGGGGAGCGAAAGGGAUUAGAUACCCCAGUAGUC